UUUUCUUUUCUUUUUAUCUUUUAAGCCUGUGCCGCCCAUUUUUUUUUUUUUACUGUCAUUGUCACACAUCAGCAGCCUUUUCACCCUCAAAUGUUGUCGUCCAAUACACCACCACCUUUUGCCGUCCUCACCCAUAUUUUUCUCUUCCUCUACUCUUCAUUAUUUUCCUGUCGUCGCGGAUGUAUCUGGAUCGAAAUCAUACGGAUCAAUCGUAGCGUUGGAGAGUUUGUUUGCUAGUCGUCAUAAGCUAGUUAAGGCAUACCUCGAUACUGUUUACCGAAAAGCAUGAGAAGCAUGCCAUUCAUGAUGUACUUCACUAAUUGUAUGCCAUAAUUGCACUUGCAUGGGGUGGGAUGGAGGAGUUUCGUGGAGAACCAUAAGACAUUUAAAGUCCGCAAUAUUGUUGUCAGUACACAGCACUGGAGAUUUGAGGAGAUUGGGCGAUUUAUUAUGUUUUUACUGGUAGCUUGUUUGCAUUUUUACCAACAAUUUUAUCAUACUGUUAUUGGUGGUUUUAACCACCAAGGACUUGAACCCUUACUAUAUUGAAGUUCGAAUGAGGGUUUUGGGGAACUCGUGGUAUAUAAUGGAUGAAUGGGUAGGAUUAUUACAUUGAAUCAUUUAGCAUGCUAUACUCAAAUGUUGUAAUGCCAUGACUAAUUGGUUGAUCUGUUUAAUCAAUGAAUGUCUGUUUGAUUGAUUAAA